CCCCUAGACGUUCUGGGCUGCACGCGCGCUACAAUAAUACGCACAGCGAGUAUCACCGAGCUCGAAAGGGCAAGGUAAACAAUAGAAAAGGUACUGUAGUGGUUAUAGAUCCUUGUAAUUAUUGAUCUUCAACGAGGAAUUCCUAGUAAGUAUGUGUCAUCAUCACGCACUGAUUACGUCCCUGCCCUUUGUACACACCGCCCGUCGCUCCUACCGAUUGGGUGAGCCGAUGAAACUCUCGGAUGUAGGCUAUUCAUAGCCCGCAGAAGAGAUUUGAAUCGUAGCGCUUAGAGGAAGGAGAAGUCGUAACA
rnacentral:rRNA from 1 species